rnacentral:rRNA from 1 species
UAGGGAAUAUUGCGCAAUGGGGGAAACCCUGACGCAGCGACGCCGCGUGAGUGAUGAAGGCCUUCGGGUCGUAAAGCUCUGUCGUAUGGGAAUAACAUAAUGAAUGUACCAUGCAAGAAAGGAUCGGCUAACUUCGUGCCAGCAGCCGCGGUAAGACGAGGGAUCCUAGCGUUGUUCGGAAUCAUUGGGCGUAAAGCGGGUGUAGGCGGACUUUUAAGUCAGAUGUGAAAUCCCAGGGCUCAACCCUGGACGUGCAUUUGAUACUGGAAGGCUUGAGUGUGGUAGAGGCUAAUGGAAUUGUUGGUGUAGUGGUGAAAUACGUAGAUAUCAACAGGAAUACCGGAGGCGAAGGCGGAUAGCUGGGCCAACACAGACGCUGAGACCCGAAAGCGUGG